rnacentral:misc_RNA from 1 species
AAGGAUCAUUAGUGAUUGCCUUAAUUGGCUUAAACUAUAUCCAUCUACACCUGUGAACUGUUUGAUUGAAUCUAACGAUUCAAUUUUUACAAACAUUGUGUAAUGAACGUCAUUAGAUCAUAACAUGAAAAAACUUUCAACAACGGAUCUCUUGGCUCUC